rnacentral:rRNA from 1 species
CGGUGACAAACCGUAGGAAGGUGGAGAUGACGUCAAGUCAUCAUGGCCCCUACGGCCUGGGCUACACACGUGCUACAAUGGUCGGUACAGAGGGUUGCCAAGCCGCGAGGUGGAGCUAAUCCCAUAAAACCGAUCGUAGUCCGGAUCGCAGUCUGCAACUCGACUGCGUGAAGUCGGAAUCGCUAGUAAUCGUGAAUCAGAAUGUCACGGUGAAUACGUUCCCGGGCCUU